rnacentral:rRNA from 1 species
AGUGAACGCUGGCGGCAGGCCUAACACAUGCAAGUCGAGCGGCAGCGGGUCCCCGCGAGGGGAUGCCGGCGAGCGGCGGACGGGUGAGGAACACAUCGGAAUCUGCCUGGUUGUGGGGGAUAACGUAGGGAAACUUACGCUAAUACCGCAUGCGACCCUGAGUCGACGGACUUGGGGUGAAAGUGAGGGACCUUCGGGCCUCACGCGACCAGAUGAGCCGAUGUCGGAUUAGCUAGUUGGCGGGGUAACGGCCCGCCAAGGCGACGAUCCGUAGCUGGUCUGAGAGGAUGAUCAGCCACACUGGGACUGAGACACGGCCCACGACUCCUACGGGAGGC